CACUUCACAAAUAGCGAUUGAACUAAUGAAGAUUCUCUAAAAUAAUUAUCUAGAUAGUUCGUUUAAUAAUUAUUUCUUACCCCAAUUCUCGCAUAGAUAACAUGGCUGGACUCCAUCGCCGCGACAACUAGUAUCUUCCGAACGAAGUCAUUGCUGGUUGGUUUGGAGAAGAACUACAGAAUGAUCAUCCUAUCCCUUUGAAUGAUCACCAUGAUGAAGACCUUUCAGAUGAUGCUAAUUCCGAACCAGAGGUUGAGAACCUACCCCAAGCAGCUCCCUUUCCAAUUCCUAACCCUCGUCCGACUUUUCAUGGCCCGACGCCUGAGUGGGUGGAAUGCUUGGAAACAUGGAGCCAAGGACNCCUAACCCUCGUCCGACUUUUCAUGGUCCGACGCCUCCAUGGGUGGAAUGUUUGGAAACAUGGAGCCAAGGACAAGAUCAGCCCAUACCAUAUGAUGGUGACCGAAGCUUUUAUGACCUGAGCAAUGGGGCUCAGUAGAUAGAGUCUUGCCAAUCUUGGUCCGCAGAGUGGCCCAAAAUGAGAUUCAAGGCAGGACAGCCCUACAUCAGAUCACUGAAGUUGUCGCCAAUGCGAGAAUGCAUACCCUCCGCACCAUUCGUCUAGAAGAUGCCCGCGAGAAAUCUGAGAGAAACCAUGAAACCAUGCUACAAGCACUGGCUGAAUCACGAGCCGAAGUCAUAGAGCUUCGAGUACGCCAGAGGGUGUACGAAAGACACCUACUUGACGUGGAACGUCAAUUUGCUAAACUAAGAGUUCACCAGAGGGAUGACCGUCGCCAGUAGUAG
rnacentral:lncRNA from 1 species